AGUUCUGCACAAAAGAGAAUUGAAUUGUGGAUCAGCUGGGAGGUUAUUGUGAUAGCCCUGGUGCCCUGCGCCUCCAGGGGACUGGAACCCUGUGGGAGCACAUAGCUGGCAUUUUUUUGCUUGAGAUUAGGAAGUCUUUUGCUUCCUCUGUGUGGAGGCUUGAAUUCAAUGGACUGUUGUGGUAGGAUGGAGUCUUUUUUUUGGUAAAAAUAAAACAGAGAUUUGGCUCCAGUUGUUACGAGGUGGUGGGCAAAUGAGCUCUCUCUCUGGUGUUUGGUGGAAAGCCAGUUUAAGAGCAUGUGGUCACAUUUUUGCCCAACAUCAUCAACAGCAUAAGGAAGCUGUGAUUCCAGCCUCAGAGGAGUGAGCUUUUAUCUCGAUGUGACUCUCCAAAGACCGUCUUUAUGCAAGAAGUGUCAGAGCCCCAUUUCAUAGACUCCAACCAACCAUAAAGAACUGUUACCCAGAGCAUUGUUCCCGAGGAAGAAAAGAGCCACACACCCACCCACACCUGCUUCGUGCCAAGAAUCUACAGUUGGGUUGCAAGGCAGCAUAUGUUGUCCUUUUGGAAAGAUGAAAGUGAGACCAAGUGAAGAGCCAGCAGAAGUGUCUCAAGGCAUCCCAAGGCAUCCCAGCCCCUGCUGCUGAGGUCAGAAGAGAAGAAAGGCCCCGGGCAUAGCCGCUGUCCUCCCACCAUGGGGCAGAACUGCCAGCGAGGAUGGGGUAUAGCAGCUGAAAAGCCAAUCCAGCCCCCGCUUACUGAAAGUAAGGUAAGAAACCUAAAUGUUCUUUCCAUUUCCUUCUGUAACAUUUUC